UGGCUUAGAAGCAGCCACUCAUUAAAAGAGUGCGUAAUAGCUCACUGGUCGAGUGGCUCUGCGCCGAAAAUUUAACGGGGCUAAACCAUACACCGAAGCUUGGGAUGUACGAAGUACAUGGUAGGAGAGCGUUGAAUGCGGGAAGAAGUCAUAGCGAAAGCGGUGGUGGACUGCAUUGAAGUGAGAAUGCCGGAAUGAGUAGCGAGAUUUAUGUGAGAAUCAUAAAGGCCGAAUGACUAAGGAUUCAGAAGGAAGGUUCGUCCGCUUCUGGUUAGCCGGGAGCUAAGGUGAGGCCGAGAGGCGUAGCCGAUGCACAUACGGUGGAGAUUCCGUAGCCGUCGAAAGACAGAGGGACACUUUGGAAGCGUUGUUGCCGGGCGAUGGUCGCCCCGGUCGAAAGGGACCGAAGACAAGUAGGGAAGAACAGCGUGGACAGAGGCAAGAAAAGCUCUGUGAAUUAAAAGGCGCCCGUACCGCAAACCGACACAGGUAGUCAGGAAGAGAAUUCUAAGGCCAACGGGAGAAGGGUAGUUAAGGAACUCGGCAAAUUGACCCCGUAACUUCGGAAUAAGGGGUGCUCCUGAGAAGGAGCCGCAGUGAAAAGGUCCAGGCGACUGUUUAUCAAAAACACAGGUCUCUGCUAAAUCGAAAGAUGAAGUAUAGGGGCUGACACCUGCCCGGUGCUGGAAGGUUAAGAGGAGAGGUGCAAGCUUUGAAUCGAAGCCCCAGUAAACGGCGGCCGUAACUAUAACGGUCCUAAGGUAGCGAAAUUCCUUGUCGGGUAAGUUCCGACCCGCACGAAUGGUGUAACGAUCUGGACACUGUCUCAACUGCCCACCCGGCGAAAUUGUAGUACCGGUGAAGAUGCCGGUUACCCGCGGCAAGACGGAAAGACCCCAUGGAGCUUUACUGUAGCCUAAUAUUGGGUUUUGGUAUUUUAUGUACAGGAUAGGCGGGAGACUAUGAAACCGAGACGCUAGUUUCGGCGGAGUCACCCUUGGGAUACCGCUCUUAGAGUACCGGAAUUCUAACCUGCGGCCAUGAAUCUGGUCGGGGGACAUUGUUAGGUGGGCAGUUUGACUGGGGCGGUCGCCUCCAAAAGAGUAACGGAGGCGCUCAAAGGUUAGCUCAGCACGGACGGAAACCGUGCCUCUGAGUGCAAACGCAAAAGCUAGCCUAACUGCGAGGCUGACGGGCCGAGCAGUAACGAAAGUUGGAGUUAGUGAUCCGGCGGUAUGUGAAUGGAAAUGC
rnacentral:rRNA from 1 species